UACGUAGGGACCGAGCGUUGUCCGGAAUCAUUGGGCGUAAAGAGCGUGUAGGCGGCUAUUUAAGUCCUGCGUGAAAUCCUGCGGCUCAACCGCAGACGGUCGUGGGAAACUGGAUGGCUAGAGUGCGGGAGAGGAGAGUGGAAUUCCCAGUGUAGAGGUGAAAUUCGUAGAUAUUGGGAAGAACACCGGUGGCGAAGGCGGCCAUCUGGACCGCAACUGACGCUGAGGCGCGAAAGCGUGGGGAGCAAACAGG
rnacentral:rRNA from 1 species